AUUGAACGCUGGCGGCAGGCCUAACACAUGCAAGUCGAACGGUAACAGGGAUCAGCUUGCUGAUUCGCUGACGAGUGGCGGACGGGUGAGUAAUGUCUGGGAAACUGCCUGAUGGAGGGGGAUAACUACUGGAAACGGUAGCUAAUACCGCAUAACGUCGCAAGACCAAAGAGGGGGACCUUCGGGCCUCUUGCCAUCGGAUGUGCCCAGAUGGGAUUAGCUAGUAGGUGGGGUAACGGCUCACCUAGGCGACGAUCCCUAGCUGGUCUGAGAGGAUGACCAGCCACACUUGAACUGAGACACGGUCCAGACUCCUACGGGAGGCAGCAGUGGGGAAUAUUGCACAAUGGGCGCAAGCCUGAUGCAGCCAUGCCGCGUGUAUGAAGAAGGCCUUCGGGUUGUAAAGUACUUUCAGCGGGGAGGAAGGGAGUAAAGUUAAUACCUUUGCUCAUUGACGUUACCCGCAGAAGAAGCACCGGCUAACUCCGUG
rnacentral:rRNA from 1 species